CUUUCCAACACUCUUUGGCCCACGCUUCCGGAUCCCCACCUUCUCUACCUCCGGCGCCGCCGACCAUCGCCAUUACCGUUCCAGCCGCCCCACGCCCUCCGCCGCCAUGAAGCCCAUCGAAUUCGCCGUCGAAGAUGACCUCGCCGCGGUCGCUUCAGUCCUCGGACAACUCCAUAGCUCACGCGCCCGCCGUCCAGGUCAGGCACAUCGCCCACGGACCCGAUGACCAGACGGAGGAGUCGGCGCUUGUGACAAUGGGCAUCAAUGGAAACACACCAGGACGGAACAUCGUUCCCGCCUCUGCAACGACGCCACGGUUGGCUGCGACCCGGAGGUCAGCAUCUAGUCACUGAGGCCUCAACUUGACUGUACCUGUUAUAGCUACUUAGAAUGGCAGAUUUGCCCUCUCGUUGCUAGCAGUUUAUAAUGCUCUAAUCCAGCAAGACAACAUCAACUAGUAAUCUAGUAUAGUAUAGUCCAGUAAUAAUACUGGCGGCAGAGCAGCAGAGGUUAACACAUCCUUCGGAGGCUCAGCUCAAACAGAAACUGCAUAGUGUGGUAGUUCAAGAAACUGACAAAAUAACACCAAGUUUGCAUUAUUAAACAUAACUAGUUAAAUGCCCGUGCGUUGCUACGGGUAUACAUAGAUCUAAUCUAAUGAUAUAUGAUAUAUAGUUGUAUGAGACUCAAUUUAUUUUCUCAACAAUCAAUUAUUUUUUCAACAACCAAGCAUUACGGGCCGUGGAACAUGGAUAAUAAAUCCUCUACCAAGGAAAAUUUUCAGAGGCCAAGAUCUCCAAAGAACACAGGGGGGCGCAAAAAAUCGCAAGAAAUCAUGGGAAGAUCAACGAAAGUUCAGAAAAUGAAAUAAACACAACCCAACAAAGACUUGCACAUAGGGUUAUUUGGAUUUAUAACAUUGCAAUUUUAAAAUUUUUGAAGUUUGGAGAAACGCCAUUUUGCAUAUAUAUAUUCUCAUGUAAAUUUGCACAAGGUUAAAUGGCAAACCAAAUAAACACUAUACACGGGUGCAUGCCUGAAGGCAGAAGCUCCCCAAAACACCACACGCCUCACUUCAUAUAACCUUAUCACAAUUGUAAGCAAUACAGCAAAUCUAUUGCCGCCGCACAUGCUGCCAGGAUCAGGCAUGUGAACACCUGCAGAAUAAACAUACCAUGGAUCAAUCUCAUUGUCUCACCGUAUGGUCAUCACAAGUCUUCUUAUGCACAGGUCUGAAACAAGCACAGUAUCUGACCGCAUUCAUUGCUGAAAUUAGCAGCAGGCAAGAUGAACUGAACGAAGUCUAGCUUACAUCUCAAAUGUUUUAGGUCCUAAUAUCAUCUACUAAUCAUGUAACGCCUUAACUGCCCGUGCGUGCAAUAAAUCAAUUCUUUUAAAAAAAAUCAGUACAAAAAAGCAGGUAGGUCGUCUGAACAUAUGGUAAGAGAAAGUCUUUUCCUAUGGCAAUCAGUACAAAGUUGCUUAUCAAGUAUGUCAGUGUGUUCCUCUAGGAUCGUGCCUGUACAUUUCCUCCUGAGCUGGAUCUCUUGAUUUGUACAGGGAAAAAUAGUACGGUAAUUCUAGUUUGAUGUUUCUAUUUCUGAGGUGCACAUUUUCAUUUAUUUGGUGAAAACCAGUAGUGGUAGCAUGCAGGUUCAGAGCUGCUGCAAGACUGACAACAGGUAGGUUUGCAAAGCAAUGAAUUCAGAUUCGAGAAGAUCUUAACAAACACAAACACUCACUGUGAAGGAAAGCACAAGCCCUGGUCUUCAACUACCCAAUCAGUACAUACAACCGUUAGCAGUUCUGUUGUGGAGCAACCCUGUGAGAAAUUAGUAAAGCAUGCUGUCAUUCUAACCUUCCACGAGACAGAUGUAUUCGUACCCAAAUAAUUCGACCCUUGGUCACAAAAAGGAUCAAGAGAGGAUGGGGAUUACCAGGUCCUGUCCUUGUCAAAUAUGAAAUGAUAGACAAACUAAUAAUUGGCUUAACUGUAUUGAAAACAGCGGUUCAGUGAUCUACUGCCUUGGCUUAGUUCAGUAGGUUACCUUUAGAAUUCCCACACGGUAGUUGUUCCAAUGAAAGAAACAGCUAGAUCAAAUAAGACCCUAGAAGAAAUGUCAGAGCACAUUGCAUCCUCGCUCCUGGCGCUGGCGCUGGGUUACAGGUACCGAACGAUUUCAAUGCUGAAGAAACUCUGCAUGCUCCUGCGGAAUUGAAGACCAGCAGACUCUCAAAAACUUGUGGAAAUCACUGUACAAAAAGGUAUAUUGAUGUUUGAAUGGAAGGACAGAAAUAACAACUUUUGCACAAAACGUGGAUUAAUCUGAAGAAGCAAUGAUACACCGAAGAAAAUAGUUCUGUAUUCAAUAUAAAAAAAGGUGUAAUCACAAGGUGUUGUAGGAAUUAUACAGAAUAAAUGAUAUGCAUCAGAUCACAGCACUUUACAUCAUUCUUCUGAUAGCACUGAGUUCAAGGGAAAAUGUUGACUGUUUCAGUUUACUUACCAUUCUUCUGAUAGUGUUAAGUUCAAGGGAAAAUAUUAACUGUUUCAGUUUACUUACCAUUCUUCUAAUAGCGUUAAGUUCAAGGGAAAAUAUUAACUGUUUCAGUUUACUUACCAUUCUUCUGAUAGUGUUAAGUUCAAGUUAAAACAUUAACUGUUUACUAUUUAUUUUGCUUCCUGAUAUGCCAAUUUAAUCUAGGCUGCUUAUAAUUAUUGUUGUUAAAUGGAUUCCCAUUUUGUCAUCCUAAUUUCAGUAAAACUGAGCUUAAAUGAAUUCCCAUUUCUAGCCGGUUCAUCUUUGCUGCCAAGGGCUAUAGCACUAUACUGAAACAGCCUUGUGCUUAGGUGACAGGUGCGGGAGAUGUAUGCUUCUCAGUGUGUGGCCUUUCUUUGCAUACUUCAUUGUUUAUCUACUAUGGCCAUGCAAGCACACAAGUAAUACAAAAAAGAUAAAUAUGAUGAAGAGUACAGGGUAUACAUUUCGACAAUUAUCAAGGAAGUGAAAGCAUUUUUACCACAGCAAUCCCAGGGUCUUUUGCACCAUUUUCUUCAAGACGAGCAAAUUGCUUCCUAAAUUAGUCGACAUUGCUGCAUAAACAAGCAUCUUUGUCCAUGUACCUCUCUGUUCUUCUACUUUUCCUCUUAAUAUGGUGGUAGGAAUUUAAGUCUGCAUCAUGUAAGGCAGUUUCUUGCCCGAUGUUUCUCAAGGCACAUAAUUUCCAUUUCGGCCUUGCAAUCGGGCAAUAUUCAUGAGCCUCAACACUUAGCCUGCAAAAUGGUGGACAUAGGCAUGUCAGGGUACCCAUGAAAACAUUGAUGUUGUUUCAGACAUUGUACUCAAGACAUACACAAUCAAACAGUUACUGCUAA